AGUGAACGCUGGCGGUAGGCCUAACACAUGCAAGUCGAACGGCAGCACAGGAGAGCUUGCUCUCUGGGUGGCGAGUGGCGGACGGGUGAGGAAUACAUCGGAAUCUACUCUGUCGUGGGGGAUAACGUAGGGAAACUUACGCUAAUACCGCAUACGACCUACGGGUGACAGCAGGGGACCUUCGGGCCUUGCGCGAUUGAAUGAGCCGAUGUCGGAUUAGCUAGUUGGCGGGGUAAAGGCCCACCAAGGGGACGAUCCGUAGCUGGUCUGAGAGGAUGAUCACCCGCACUAGAACUUAGACACGGUCCAGACUCCUACGGGAUGCACCAAUGGGGAAUAUUGGAAAAUGGGCGCAAGCCUGAGCCAGCCAUACCGCGUGGGUGAAGAAGGCCUUCGGGUUGUAAAGCCCUUUUGUUGGGAAAGAAAUCCAGCUGGCUAAUACCCGGUUGGGAUGACGGUACCCAAAGAAUAAGCACCGGCUAACUUCGUGCCAGCCGCCGCGGUAA
rnacentral:rRNA from 1 species